CCAUCGGUGGUUCUGUGGUAGAAUGCUCGCCUGCCACGCGGGCGUCCCAAGUUCGAUACCCGGCCGAUGCA
rnacentral:tRNA from 1 species